rnacentral:miRNA from 1 species
CACUGAUAUAUCGUUAAUGCUGAC